rnacentral:rRNA from 1 species
CUACUACCGAUUGAAUGGCUCAGUGAGGCCUUCGGACUGGCCCAGGGAGGUUGGCAACGACCACCCCGGGCCGGAAAGUUGGUCAAACUCGGUCAUUUAGAGGAAGUAAAAGUCGUAACAAGGUU